AUUGAACGCUGGCGGCAUGCCUUACACAUGCAAGUCGAACGGUAACGGGCCUUCGGGUGCCGACGAGUGGCGAACGGGUGAGUAAUACAUCGGAACGUGCCCGAUCGUGGGGGAUAACGAGGCGAAAGCUUUGCUAAUACCGCAUACGCUCUACGGAUGAGAGCAGGGGACCGCAAGGCCUUGCGCGGACGGAGCGGCCGAUGGCAGAUUAGGUAGUUGGUGGGAUAAAAGCUUACCAAGCCGACGAUCUGUAGCUGGUCUGAGAGGAUGAUCAGCCACACUGGGACUGAGACACGGCCCAGACUCCUACGGGAGGCAGCAGUGGGGAAUUUUGGACAAUGGGCGCAAGCCUGAUCCAGCCAUGCCGCGUGCAGGAUGAAGGCCUUCGGGUUGUAAACUGCUUUUGUACGGAACGAAAAGCCUUCUUUUAAUACAGGAGGGUCAUGACGGUACCGGAAGAAUAAGCACCGGCUAACUACGUG
rnacentral:rRNA from 1 species